UACGAAGGGGGGCUAGCGUUGCUCGGAAUCACUGGGCGUAAAGGGUGCGUAGGCGGGUCUUUUAAGUCAGGGGUGAAAUCCCGGGGCCGUCAACCCCACGGAACUGCCUUUGAUACUGGGUAUCUGGAGGUCGAGAGAGGCGAGUGGAAUUCCGAGUGUAGAGGUGAAAUUCGUAGAUAUUCGGAGGAACACCAGUGGCGAAGGCGGCUCGCUGGCUCGAUACUGACGCUGAGGUGCGAAAGCGUGGGGAGCAAACAGG
rnacentral:rRNA from 1 species